ACAGGCAUCCAGCAGGAGUCCGAGUGGCCGUACUCGUCACAUUCCCGGGUGCACUUGCCAGUCAUGGCUACGUCAGGCAAGGGCCGGGAGUCUAGAGGAAGCAGAGAAGAGAAAAAACAAAAAUGCGUGAAUCUGUAUUUUUCCCUAAAGAAGACAUCAUCGCAUCUAAGUGUUGAUGAAGAAGAACCCAUAACCACAUGACAGAAACGGUAACAGAAAACAACAAUGAAAAGGAAGACUCCACCGGCUACGACAAAAGCCUCAAACUAAAAAACAGUGGCGUGAAUCAGAGUUGAAACAAUGUCAUGCUUCAAAACGUGUUUGU